GAUGAAGAACGUAGCGAAAUGCGAUAAGUAGUGUGAAUUGCAGAAUUCAGUGAAUCAUCGAAUCUUUGAACGCACAUUGCGCCCCUUGGUAUCCCGAGGGGCAUGCCUGUUCGAGCGUCAUUUCACCACUCAAGCCUGGCUUGGUGUUGGGCGACGUCCUCUUUGGGGACGCGCCUCGAAACGCUCGGCGGCGUGGCACCGGCUUUAAGCGUAGCAGAAUCUUUCGCUUUGGAAGUCGGGGCCCCGUCUGCCGGAAGACCUGCUCGUAAGGUUGACCUCGGAUCAGGCAGGGAUACCCGCUGAACUUAAGCAUAUCAAUAGCGGAGGA
rnacentral:misc_RNA from 1 species